rnacentral:misc_RNA from 1 species
GUGUUGUUGCAGCGCUGCCUGGUACUCCGCAUCUCCACUGGAUGCCGUUGCUGUGAGUUGGCGUCUUGGAAGAGCGGAUAUGAGCUGCUGCAUCGAGAAAUGUGAGUGUGUGUUUCAAAUCGGUUCGUAUUUCAGAGGAAAAUCUCGUUCACGUUGCUUGAGGCUUCCAUACGGUGAUCUCUGUUGGCAGGCUUUAGUUUGCAGGUGCCGCGGAGAAGAAGUCGUUUGGGAAACGGGAGAAUUUGUUCAAACCUCUUCAAAACAGUAUUAGGCGCUGCUUUGGAACGAAGCAAGGCCUCAUAAGGAAAACAAGAAUUUCGCUUGAACGCGUUUAGAGAGCACUCCACCGCCGUCUGAAUAACAUGGAUAGCGUCCAAUCUGCGAACUCGGGUGUCCCGUCCAGUAGUUUGGGCCACUUGCCACUGUCAUCAACACCUGCCUUCGCGGACCUUUUAGCGUCUGCUUCCUGUGCCUCUGUCUCAUUUCCGGACUUUAAUAUGUCGGUUUCUCCUGUGCGUCGAGCGCUGUUUUCAGCAGUCGAAGAAUGUUGAGGGCAUCGCUAGAGUUUUGAUUUCGUUGCUUCCCGUUAUAGUCUACCCCUUCCAGGUACAGCGCAGAGUGCGAUCCCGCUUCGUUUGCUGCUCUUGUCUUCUUUCUAUACAGGCAUGGUGCGCCCUUCGCAGCGGUGACGCUUAACUGUGGUCAGAUGUUCGACGACGUCCACCAUUCUUCUUCCAUGAGCCACACUGUCGCGAGUGGAUGUUUUCGCCAUCGCGCAGUGCAUCUUUUUGACGAGUACAGUAUCCUGCUCCUGGCAAACUUCUCCGUUUUGGUGCCCACUGCCUUGAACGCCAAUCACGGGCUCCUGAUGGAUGAUGUCCACCCGCAGCGAGAACGCUUUCUGCUGAAUGCACCAGCGCACGCUGUUCCAUUCGAUAAUGGGCUCCUAGAAAGCAAUAUAUUGUCCACGAUGACAUAACGAUCGGAAGGAAAACCCAGGCUGGAGAACAGUUCGUGACAUUUUGAACCGUCGACGCUACACUCACGCAAAACGGUGACGCAUUCUGAACUCGUAGCGAUCUCUGUGAUGACUCAGUUCCGUGUUCAAGACCUUUCUCCAUGCAAACAGUAGAGAUGUGAGCACUCAGGGCCGUAUUCAGUCGAAAAUAUUCUGCCGCUGUGAAAUCGUGGUUCUUCGCUGGACUCGAAAAAGGCAGGAUUCGUCAUUGGAACGGAACAUAUUAUUGAACGAGAGCAGUGCAGCGGGCUUUCGGCAUGUGCUUGUGGACGAGUCGUCAAAGGCCGACUCGGAGUCGUUUUCCCUGUCAACAUGGUGGCGCGCGUUGCUGUGCUCGGUAGAUUUCCUGAAACAGAAGGAUCAAAAAGCUAGGAGAUUGCUUGAUUUGAGCAUGCUGCACCUGAGGGAAGGAGAUAUGUGGAUGCAUGUAGGAUAGAUCUGGGUAACGAUAUCGGUUAUUUUACGAACCCUUGUUCGAGGGCGUCGCGAAUCAUCCUGAUUCCGGUGACGUAGCGAAUUUUAGCGGUAAAGACAUGAAAGCGUAACACCGAAAAGAAGAAUGAGAAUCCAAGAGCAUUAUGAAUCCAUAAACUCUUAUUGUUCCACUUCGAAU